UAUAUAUUAUAUAUAUAAUAUAUAUACAUAUAUNCUACACCAAAAAAUGUGUGGAGCUUUGUUUAAUUUAUUAUUAUUAUUAUUAUUACUACUACUACUUCUACUACUACUACUGCUACUACUAUUGCUAUUACUAUUCGUGUAGUAGUAGUAGUAGUAUAGUAGUAGUAGUAAUACUAAUUAAUAAUAAUAAAAAUAAUAAUGAAAUGUGUAUUUUAGUUAUUGCAAUCCUGUUUACAGCUCUAAUGUUAGACUCAGACUCUAUUUUUAUUUAAUUUUUUAUUUAUUUUUAAUUGAUUAUUUUUUUUAAUUCUGUUUAAUCUUUAUUAAAGGUUUGUAUAAAUGAAUGCAACACAUAUCAAAUCUGAACGCAUGCAAGAUAACUCCUUUAUUCAUAAAAACUACCUGGGCUCCAUGGAACUAUUGCUGGGUGGAAAAAAUGUGUCUUUCUGGCUGAUGUAAAUUUUAGUUUUGGCAGUAAAAUGCAUAAUACUCAAAUGGCAGUUCAGUAAUGCCAGGAGGAAGGGAAAGCAUAAAGAAAUCAGUGCUAAGCACACGAGGAAGUGUAAAGAGAGCGACACUCGUGGCUGUAAAGGUUGGAACAGGGUAUGUCCCAGCCCAGCCUAAAACUUUCUUGGAAGAGAUCCUUGCAAAUGAGCAUCCUCCAUCUGACAGGGUGUUUUUCAGCGCAGUGUCUACUGAGAAAGAGCACAGCUCUCAUCCGCUCCGCUACUUAGUUAUUGCCUGAGGGACUGGACCAGCAUAGAGGGCUUUUCUUGGCCCUGUGACGUCUGAUGAAAUGAGAAGGAUGAAGACCCAAACCGCUGUCCAUCUGAUGUGGCCACUGAUUUUAGUGCUACAGUUUGCUUGGCUUACAAAAGGCCUGAAUCACUUUAUAGUUCCUCAGAAUUUGACCUCGGAGACCGGAAAAACUGUCACCUUUGAAUGUGGUGUUGGUGGAUUGAAUGGGGAAAAAAUCCGGUUUUACAUUAUGGGUCCAAAGGUCAAUGAUUCCGUGUCUUGUCCAGGAGAAAAAACCAAGUACUUGCCUGCUCAGUCAAUGAAAGCCUACUGUUAUACAAAAUCUGGUGGAGAUGUAGCUGCUUGGGAAGUCGCAGGAACAUCAGAAGAUGACAAUGGCACUAUUUUUUUGUGCAAAGUCAAUACUGCAGAUGACAAAAUCGGAUACCUUUAUGUGUACGAGAAUGAUUCCUACUAUGCCAAGCUCAUUGGAUAUGUGAUUGGAGGAUUUUUAGCUGGUCUCAUUAUCAUCGUUGCGGCUUAUGUCCUGUUGAAAAGAUCAGAGAAAGUACAGCACUGCUUCAGGUCAGUGGGUGGAAUCCAAGAUGACGUGCAAUAGCCACAAUCUAAGCAAUACCGAAACCCCUCUCAUGCUCCUUACCAACAAAUGUGGAUUUGGAGGGCUAAUAAUAACAUAGCACAAACAUCGCAAUAUAAUAUAGGUUCUGCAGAUUUGAAAGAAAGGCCUGUGUUUCUCAGUUUUCAGUCUUGUCCAGUAGAGGGCGUGUUCACUUCUUUGUUCACAGCCAUGUUUUAGUUUCUCAUGUUCCUGGUUCAAAAUCCUUUUUUUUUUUUUUUGGUCACAGAGGAACAUUUUAAGUAACUAUAAUAUCUAAAUUUUAAUUUCUAACCCUAAUUUACACUAAAAUGUGAGGGAUUUUGAUACAGGAGUAUGUUCUAUUAGUUAAUCCACUUUAAGCAUCAAGCAACACCACCUUUCAAGAAUGUUUAUCUUACAAAUACACACAUUUGAUUAUCUAAUUGUGGAUCUGCUGUUUAAUGAAUAGUCAAGUACUCAGAAUGAAUGUGUCAUUGUCAUGCUGUUUACCAUAUUCAUUUAUUUUAGUUGUUUUUUAUUUUCAAUGUAAUGUAAAUUACUCACUACUUUAAUUUCAUUUCAUUUUAUACUGCUUUAAGAGGCUAAAUGACAAAAUUCACAGCACACAUAUAGGCUUUUGGGUUGCGUUGAGUAGAUCAAUAGGAGAUGGGUCAAUAUUGACACAGGUGGUUCUGUGCACCCUGGAACAGCCGUGUUUCUAUUCUACUACACUUUUCAUUGUAGAUAUCAGUCCAUAAGCAUUUAGUUUUAAAGUUUUAAAGGCUCAGAAGCUGCGUAUUUAAUCCUGUUUUGAACCUUUGACUAUUUGCAUAUGUGCUCUGGCAUUUGUAAACACUCAUGAAGUCACAUUACAACAUACAAGCACAACAAUCAUCUGCUUUAGCUCACAGACAGGUUUAAUUUUAAUGUUGUAUGAUAUUUUCAGAAUGUGCUUGUAUCAAUUCAAAAUGUAAACAUUAUUGUAAACAUCUAAAAUGUAGACGAGAGCCUUUCAAAUCAGAUUAGACAGUCAAAUCUAAAACAUUUAUAUUGUUAUUUUUGGUUACAUUUUGACUUUAUUUUAAUGCUUUCUGUUCUCUUGAAAGACUCCAAUGCUGUUUGUGUAAAAAUAAUUGAAUUUUCAAAUUCUUGUAAUACAAAUUCUUGUAAUAUGUUCCACUGACCUUAUCAAAACCCAGUAGACAGAUAUUAUUGAGGCUUCUACUCUCUGUUUUAUCAGCAUGUACUUUUCAUAAAGGUGAUUAUCUUGUAUACAGACUUUUGUUUGGGGUCAGUUUGACCAAUGUAUAAAUACAUUUUAGAAUAAUAUAAUAAAACGCAUAAGAAUCAGGACA
ensembl:lncRNA